GAUUAACGCUGGCGGCGUGCCUAAUGCAUGCAAGCCGAACGGCCCGAUUUAUCGGGCAGUGGCGAACGGGUGAGUAACACGUAAGAACCUACCCUCAAGUGGGGAAUAACCCCGAGAAAUCGGGGCUAAUACCGCAUAAGCUCCCCGAUUAUAUCGGGGAGGAAAGCUGAGGCGCUUGAGGACGGGCUUGCGUCCGAUUAGCUAGUUGGUGAGGUAAGGGCUCACCAAGGCUGAGAUCGGUAGCUGGUCUGAGAGGAUGAUCAGCCACACUGGGACUGAGAUACGGCCCAGACUCCUACGGGAGGCAGCAGCAGGGGAUAUUGCGCAAUGGGUGAAAGCCUGACGCAGCAACGCCGCGUGGGGAAGAAGGUUUUCGGAUCGUAAACCCCUUUUCUCGGGGAAGAUGGUGACGGUACCCGAGGAAUAAGUCUCGGCUAACUACGUG
rnacentral:rRNA from 1 species